rfam:Triticum aestivum genome assembly, contig: Triticum_aestivum_CS42_TGACv1_scaffold_393892_5AS
UCGAUGCAGAUGAGGAGACACAAGUAUAUGGGUAAUUUACGUCUUGAGGCAGUUGUGUGAUGCCACACUGUUUUUGACCUUGGAGAUGUGAUGCAUCCC